GUAAUUGGCCACCUUUUUCCAUAUCAAUUAACUAAAAAUCAUCUGUUAAUAACCAAAUUAACUUCCAAGAAGAAGGUGGACGAGUUAUUUAAUUUGUUGACUUGACAGUGUGUUUCUUUCUGGGUGGCGUUGAGUAGUCUUAGCUUCAAGUGAGAAAGAAAGAUAAGCAUUAUAUAGCUUCAAAUGUGUUUACAAUCUCCCCAUACUGGAGAAUUGAUCAUUGAAUAGUAAAUAAAAGAAUGCACUCAAACACCACCAAAUCCUAAUAAGACACACUAACGAGUAACGGCUGUACAUAGGUGAUAUACAUUUGAAAACUAGAUUAGCUUCCAAUCAUAAUGACAAUAUCAGCAAUAAGUACUAAGUUUUAGUUUCACUCGGAACACAAUAUCAAAAGUAAAACUCCAAACCAACCAAAAUGCAAAAAAUUGAACAUUUUUAAUGCCUUGAGCAUUCAUGGUCCCUGACUUGGAAAAAAUAUUGACCCCAAAAAUCAAGCCUAAUAUGCUAAAUGAUUGCGAAGAAAAUCAAAAUCUUCAAAUUUCAGCAAUACAUACUCAGUUAGACAUUUCUUCGAACACCUUCACCCCAAGUUAUAAACAUGAAGACAAUUGUAUACAGAUAUAUAAAAAUCUAGAAUGCUUUAUAUUCAUAUUAACACACACGGGGAUAGAUAUGCUAGUACAAGAAACUCACCUUAAGAGAAGGUUGAAUGCUUGAAUAAUGGUGAAAAUAAAAUUGAUAAAAGGGGCAAAAUUACUGCACUGCCGGAUAAACAAAUUUCAGGAUGGAAAGAAACACUCUUCAUUAAAUUCUUGACACGUAACAAUUUCCUCUCUUUAAUACGUGUACAUCAAUUAAAGAAUCAUAUUCUUUGUCUCGCAUGGCAUCUUGGGUCAUUCAUACCAUAUGGCUCAGAUAUAG
rnacentral:lncRNA from 1 species